UAUGAAUGGGACUUUUAUUUUGGUCUGGCGCAGUGACGUCAUAAAGCCGCGCCGCGCUCCUGCAUCUGUUGUGAUUCAUCUGCAGAAAGAGUCAUCUGGGAUCCAGCUUAUUGGCAGAUUGCCUCCUGAAAUCAGUAUAAAACUACAGUGAUUCAGUGCUUUAGUCAGUCUUGAUGACUGCAGCGCCACACAGUACCAUCUCAAUCAAGAACCUGAUGAAGAGUCACUCAGUCUCUGAUCUUCACUUCUGAGUUUCCUACAGCCGUAAAGGGAUAUUGCAGGUCAUUUCAGGCCAUCACCAAUCACUCUGACUGUGUCCAAACACACAGAAAAACUCCUGCUGAAGAAGCUGAGAUCCACGUGACACUAUU